rnacentral:rRNA from 1 species
UGAUCCUGGCUCAGAAUGANCGCUGGCGUUAGUGCUUAACACAUGCAAGUCGUGCGCGAAAGCGGCUUCGGCCGUUAGUAGAGCGGCGAACGGGUGAGUAACACGUGGGUGACCUACCUGAAAGCGGGGGAUAACCUGGGAAACUCGGGCUAAUACCGCAUACGUUCCUGAGGCUGAGGCCUCAGGAAGAAAGCUGGCCUAUGCUUGCAAGCUAGCACUUUCAGGGGGGCCCGCGGCCGAUUAGCUAGUUGGUGAGGUAACGGCUCACCAAGGCUGCGAUCGGUAGCCGGCCUGAGAGGGUGAUCGGCCACACUGGGACUGAGACACGGCCCAGACUCCUACGGGAGGCAGCAGUGGGGAAUAUUGGACAAUGGGCGAAAGCCUGAUCCAGCAACGCCGCGUGGAGGAUGAGGGCCUGCGGGUCGUAAACCCCUGUCAGGUGGGACGAAAAGGCGCCGGUAAAUAAUCGGCGCCGCUGACGGUACCACCAGAGGAAGCCCCGGCUAACUCCGNUGCCAGCAGCCGCGGUAAUACGCGCGGGGGGCGAGCGUUAUUCCGGAAUUAUUGGGCCGUAAAGGGCGCG